CAGGGCGUGGGAAAGCCUGGCCAGUGUCUCUGGAGACGGGGCGCGUACCUCGGGCGCACGAGAUCGCUGGUUCAAAUCCAGCCGUCCUGAC
rnacentral:tRNA from 1 species